AGAGAGAGAGAGAGAGAGAACACCAAAAAAUGAUGAUAACCUCCUAUCAUUUUUCAUCUAGUGAUGGUGAAAACAAAAGUGAAAAAAGUAGGCAGAAUGCAGUGAAGCCCAUGACUGACAAAGUGAAAUCAGGUAAAUAAGAAAAAAAUCAACUAUCAGCAUCAGCAGAUAUUUCUAAUAAUCUAAACUGACGUAGUUUGCAAACAGCAGGUUGUGACUUGUGACCCUCCACUAUUCAACCAUUUUCCUGUUAUCUUUUUUAUGUGGGUUCUAGGUAUUCUUAUUAACACCAAUUUCACAACCAUGCACGGGUAAGGAUUAUACAUAUUAACUAAGAAUAUAUAGACUAAAUAGUUCAAAUAAUGCAUAGAGCAAUGGAAGAAAUAGUAUGUCAAUAUUUUCCACAAAAAAAAAAAUGUUGAGAGAACU
rnacentral:misc_RNA from 1 species